rnacentral:lncRNA from 1 species
GAGUGAACCAACAUGAGCAAGUCAUAUUAGAUUAAUUGAUCUAAUUGGUGUCUAGGAAAGCAUGAAAAGUAGUUACUUAAUUAGGACCUUACUCUCUGAGUAAGGAGAGCCUCCCACCUGCUUACCUGGCCAAUUGUUCGAUUACCUCUUAUGAAGAGCUCAAGUUGCAAACACUAAGACAUGAUUAACCAAUAUUAAGUCCAUAGGUCUUCCACCGUAGUAGAGCUGCUAAGGUCUUUCUGGUGUUGACUUGUCUCGACUGGACACAGUGGGCAAGUUGCAUCGGGGGGCUGGACCUCUCUAUAGACAUGUGAUGUUGUAGGGAUAAAGAUGGGGUUGGGCACCAAUAACUGUUAGGUGAGGACCCAAUGAUGACUUUAUUUCUACGGUUAUACGGUGAAUCUGACUUAACUAAGGAAUAAGACCAAUAACUGUUAGGUGAGGUCUUCAUGACUUAAAGACCAAGUAGCACUGCAACAUGCUUGAGAAGUAUUGUACAAGAGU